AGCGAACGCCGGCGGCGUGGCUGAGACAUGCAAGUCGCACGGAACUGUGAUUGGGUAACUGAGAACAGUUUAGUGGCGAAAGGGUGAGUAAUGCAUGGGUAACGUACCCCGGGCACCGGGAUAGUAGCGUCUGCUUCGGCAGGCUACCGAAAGGGCUGGUAAUACCGGAUGUGGUUGGUAGCACUGCGGUGCUUUUGAUCAAAGUUGGGGAUCCGCUUCGGCGGACCUAUCGGCCUGGGAGCGGCCCAUGUUCCAUCAGCUAGUUGGUAGGGUAAAGGCCUACCAAGGCGAUGACGGAUACCGGGGCUGAGAGGCCGAUCCGGCACAUUGGGACUGAGACACUGCCCAGACCCCCACGGGGGGCUGCAGUAACGAAUCUUCCGCAAUGGGCGCAAGCCUGACGGAGCGACGCCGCGUGUGGGAUGAAUUCCCUCGGGAUGUAAACCACUGUCAGGGUUAUGGAAACAAACCGCAAUAAUACAGCGGGGCGUAGACCUAGCCCAGAGGAAGCCACGGCUAACUUCGUGCCAGCAGCCGCGGUAAUACGAAGGUGGCAAGCGUUGUUCGGAAUAACUGGGCUUAAAGAGUGUGUAGGCGGAAUGGUAAGCGUUCUGUGAAAUCCCUCGGCUUAACCGAGGAGUUGCUGGACGAACUGCUGUUCUUGAGGCAAGUAGGGGUGCACGGAACUCUUGGUGGAGCGGUGGAAUGCGUAGAUAUCAAGAGGAACGCCGGUGGAGAAAUCGGUGCACUGGGCUUGUCCUGACGCUGAGACACGAAAGCGUGGGGAGCGAACGGGAUUAGAUACCCCGGUAGUCCACGCCGUAAACGAUGUCUACUAGGUUGUGGUGGUUCUGACACCAGCACGGCCGAAGCUAAAGUGCUAAGUAGACCGCCUGGGGAGUACGGUCGCAAGGCUA
rnacentral:rRNA from 1 species